GCUGACGAGUGGCGGACGGGUGAGUAAUGUCUGGGAAACUGCCUGAUGGAGGGGGAUAACUACUGGAAACGGUGGCUAAUACCGCAUAACGUCGCAAGACCAAAGAGGGGGACCUUCGGGCCUCUUGCCAUCAGAUGUGCCCAGAUGGGAUUAGCUUGUUGGUGAGGUAACGGCUCACCAAGGCGACGAUCCCUAGCUGGUCUGAGAGGAUGACCAGCCACACUGGAACUGAGACACGGUCCAGACUCCUACGGGAGGCAGCAGUGGGGAAUAUUGCACAAUGGGCGCAAGCCUGAUGCAGCCAUGCCGCGUGUAUGAAGAAGGCCUUCGGGUUGUAAAGUACUUUCAGCGGGGAGGAAGGUGUUGUGGUUAAUAACCGCAGCAAUUGACGUUACCCGCAGAAGAAGCACCGGCUAACUCCGUGCCAGCAGCCGCGGUAAUACGGAGGGUGCAAGCGUUAAUCGGAAUUACUGGGCGUAAAGCGCACGCAGGCGGUCUGUCAAGUCGGAUGUGAAAUCCCCGGGCUCAACCUGGGAACUGCAUUCGAAACUGGCAGGCUUGAGUCUUGUAGAGGGGGGUAGAAUUCCAGGUGUAGCGGUGAAAUGCGUAGAGAUCUGGAGGAAUACCGGUGGCGAAGGCGGCCCCCUGGACAAAGACUGACGCUCAGGUGCGAAAGCGUGGGGAGCAAACAGGAUUAGAUACCCUGGUAGUCCACGCCGUAAACGAUGUCUACUUGGAGGUUGUGCCCUUGAGGCGUGGCUUCCGGAGCUAACGCGUUAAGUAGACCGCCUGGGGAGUACGGCCGCAAGGUUAAAACUCAAAUGAAUUGACGGGGGCCCGCACAAGCGGUGGAGCAUGUGGUUUAAUUCGAUGCAACGCGAAGAACCUUACCUGGUCUUGACAUCCACAGAAGAAUCCAGAGAUGGAUUUGUGCCUUCGGGAACUGUGAGACAGGUGCUGCAUGGCUGUCGUCAGCUCGUGUUGUGAAAUGUUGGGUUAAGUCCCGCAACGAGCGCAACCCUUAUCCUUUGUUGCCAGCGGUUAGGCCGGGAACUCAAAGGAGACUGCCAGUGAUAAACUGGAGGAAGGUGGGGAUGACGUCAAGUCAUCAUGGCCCUUACGACCAGGGCUACACACGUGCUACAAUGGCGCAUACAAAGAGAAGCGACCUCGCGAGAGCAAGCGGACCUCAUAAAGUGCGUCGUAGUCCGGAUUGGAGUCUGCAACUCGACUCCAUGAAGUCGGAAUCGCUAGUAAUCGUGGAUCAGAAUGCCACGGUGAAUACGUUCCCGGGCCUUGUACACACCGCCCGUCACACCAUGGGAGUGGGUUGCAAAAGAAGUAGGUAGCUUAACCUUCGGGAGGGCGCUUACCACUUUGUGAUUCAUGACUGGGGUGAAGUCGUAACAAGGUAACCGUAGGGGAACCUGCGGUUGGAUCACCUCCUUACCUUAAAGAA
rnacentral:rRNA from 7 species